rnacentral:rRNA from 1 species
UCCUGCCCUAUGAUUAGUUAAAUGGCUGCAGUAUUCUGACUGUGCAAAGGUAGCAUAAUAAUUAGUCUUUUAAUUGAGGACUUGAAUGAAUGGAUUAAUGAGAAAUUUGUUUUAUUUUAAAUAUUUUUAAAACUUUAUUUUUAAGUAAAAAAGCUUAAAUCUUUUUCUGGGACGAUAAGACCCUAUAGAACUUCAUUUUUAUUGUUAAUUAACUUAUUUUAGUUUUGUAAUUAUUUUAAUAAUAACUAAUAUUUUGUUGGGGUGAUUAAUAAAUUUUAACUUUAUUUAUAUAAAUCAAUUUAUUUAUGUUUUAUUUUGAUCCGGUUUAACUGAUUAAAAGAUAAAGUUACCUUAGGGAUAACAGCGUUAUUUUAGUGGGAAGUUCAUAUUUAUACUAAAGUUUGCGACCUCGAUGUUGAAUUAAGAUAAGAUUAGGGGGUAG